UACGUAGGGGGCGAGCGUUGUCCGGAUUUAUUGGGCGUAAAGAGCUCGUAGGCGGCUUGGCAAGUCGGGUGUGAAACCUCCAGCUCAACCUGGAGACGCCACUCGAUACUGCCAUGGCUAGAGUCCGGUAGGGGACCACGGAAUUCCUGGUGUAGCGGGUGAAAUGCGCAGAUAUCAGGAGGAACACCGGUGGCGAAGGCGGUGGUCUGGGCCGACACUGACGCUGGAGGAGCGAAAGCGUGGGUAGCAAACAGG
rnacentral:rRNA from 1 species